rnacentral:rRNA from 1 species
GUGUCAGCCGCCGCGGUAAGACGUAGGGGGCGAGCGUUGUCCGGAAUUACUGGGCGUAAAGAGCACGUAGGCGGAGACUUAAGUCAGGUGUGAAAGACCGGGGCUCAACCCCGGGGUGGCACUUGAAACUGGGUCCCUUGAGGGCAGGAGAGGAAAGUAGAAUUCCUGGUGUAGCGGUGAAAUGCGUAGAAAUCAGGAGGAAUACCAGUGGCGAAGGCGACUUUCUGGACUGACCCUGACGCUGAGGUGCGAAAGCGUGGGUAGCAAACAGGAUUAGAUACCCUGGUAGUCC